rnacentral:sRNA from 12 species
ACAUGAGGCUCACUUAGAGCCUCGCUAACCUGGGGAGGUUAGGUAUCCAUCUGGGUAGCGGUAGCUCCGCCCCUCUGGCGAGACGGCGACCAGAGACCGGGUUGUCAGACCCGGUCGGGACCGUCUC